GCUACUAGGAGCCUUGCUGAGGAAGCCGGCAUGCCCAAACCAGCAAGGAGCAGCUGUGGCCACAGAGAGGAAGGAGAGCUGCAGGACUAGCCCAUUGCCCAGGAGGCCUGCUUAGGUCUCUGCAGAGGCCAUGAAAAAUGUGCCAUUCAGCUUUUCUGCUAAUUGUUGAAGGCCCAGCUGCCACCGCUCUGGAUCUACACCCCAUUUGCAAUGAAGCCACACAUCUCGUGAGCCACUCCCAGCCCGUGACUGGGCACAGCAGGGGCCCUAACGCAGGAUAGCUCUGAGGAGGUGUGGGACCCUUGACAGUGGAGGACAUUGGCCCGAGAACUCUUCAUCGACCUGAUCAAACCUCUCUUGGAACUGCAAAGCAGUCUGAGACUCUUCUCCCAGUUUAUUAUCUCCCUAUUAACUAUCUAUAGUGUAGCUCAUUGGAAAAGAGUCAUUAAUUUUGAUUAUCAAAUUCACUCCUUUUUCUUUUUGACUUGCACUUUGGGUUUUUGAGAUUUUGUUUAGCAAUGCCGCUUCCAACCCUUAGUCACACGCAGUCCCCCUCUCCUCACAGGUUUCAGAUCCAUAUCAUAGCUGAAGGCUCUCUCUGCUGUCCAGCUCCUCCUCUGUGUGGGACAUUUAUCUGAGUUUUAAAAUGUCCUUCCCAAAAGUUGACUUUAGUAUUAUUUUAUUAUUUAUUUUUGAGACAGUGUCUCACUCCAGUCCAGACUAGAGUACAGUGGCCUGAUCAUAGCUCAGUGCAACCUGGAACACCUAGGUUCAAGCCAUCCUCCCAUCUCAGCCUCCUGAGUAGCUGGGACUCCAGGCACACACCACCACACCGGGAUAAUUUUUUUUAUUUUUUGUAGAAGUGGGCUCUCACCAUGUUGCCCAGGCUGGUCUUGAACUCCUGGACUCAAGCAAAUCUCCCACCUCCGCCUCCCAAAGGGCUGGGAUUACAGGCGUGAGCCACCAUGCCUGACCUGUAGUGUAUUAUUGAUUUAUUAUUAGGUAUUUUAUAGUUUUUAAUAUUAUUUUGUGUGUUUUUUUAAAAUUUUCAACUUGGUUGUUACUGAAGUAGAGAAAUUCUAUUGAUUUUUGUAGGUUGAUCUUAUAUCUUGCACCUAGUUGAACUCUCUAAUUUUACUAGUUUGUCAUUUUAUUUUUAUUUAUGUUGAGUUUUCUAGGGAUAUUAUCACAUCAUCUGAAAAUAAAACAGUUUUAUCUCUCUCUCUUUUUCUUUUUUUCUGAGAUGAACUCUUGCUCUGUUGUCCAGGCUGGAGUAUAGUGGCAUGAUCAUGGCCCACUGCAGUCUCGAAUUCCCAGGCUCAAGUGACCCUCCCACCUCAACCUCCCGGGUAGCUGAGACUAUAGACAUGCCUGGUUAAUUUUCAAAUAUUUUAUAGAGGUGAGGUCUCCCUAUGCUGCCCAGGCUGGUCUUGAACUCCUGGACUCAAGUGAAAUUCCCGCCUUGGCCUCCCAAAGUACUGGGAUUACAGUCAUGAGUCAUCACACUCGGUCUGUCUCUUCUUUUUAAAUUAGAACUCUCCUCAUUUGUCUUUCCCUUUUUAUAGUGUUGGCUGGGACCUCCAGUACUAUGUCAACCAGUAGUGGUGAUAUUAGGCAUCUAUUCAUUAUUCCCAAUCUUCAAGGAAAUGCAUAUAAAUUUUCUACAGUAGGUAUGAUGUUUGCUCUAAGACUUUUGUCUAUGACUUUUACCAAAUUAAAGAAUAGAUGUGGCCUUUAUCCAAUGCUUUUUCUGCAUUCAUUGAAUAGUCAGAAAUAUCCUUAUUUUAGCCUAUCAAUGUGGUGAAGUACACAGAUACAUUUUUUUGAUGGUCAUUUAUCCUUGCACUCCUAGGACAAGCACAACUUGAUCAUGAUGUAUUUUUAAAAAUACUUGUUGAUUCGUGUUUUAUUAAGGAUUUUUGCAUUUAUUGUAUGCAUUUAUGGUUCUUUUAAUUGGAAUGUAUAGACUAUUUACAUUUAAUGUAAUUAUCAGUGUAGUUGGGCUUAAGUUUACCUUCUUGAUAUUUGCUUUCUAUUUUUCCAUCUGUUCUUUGUUCCUUUCUUUUGUCUUUUUCAGCCUCCUUUUGGAUUAAUUUAGCAUUUUUUAGAAUUCCAUUUUACCACCACUAUUGGCUUCUUUGCUGUACCUCUUCGUCUUAUGCUUUUAGUGAUUGUUCUAGGAUUUAAAAUAUGAAUCUUUAACUUAUCACCAUCUAUAUUCAGUGGCUACUAUACCAUUUCAGAUAUAAUUUAAGAGCUUUACAACAAUAUACUUCUGACCAGGCGUGGUGGCUCCAUGCCUGUAAUCCCAGCACUUUGGGAGGCCAAGGCAGGCAGAUCACUUGAGUCCAGGAGUUCGAGACCAGCCUGGGCAACAUGGCAAAACAGUGUCUCUACUGAAAAUACAAAAAUUAGCUGGGCAUGGUGGCGAGUACCUGUAGUCCCAGCUACUUGGGAGGCUGAGGCAGGAGGAUUGCUUGAGCCCGGGAGGCGGAGGUUGCAGUGAGCUGACAUGGCACCACUGUACUCCAGCCUGGGUGACGGAAUGAGAUCCCGUCUCAAAAAUAAAAUAGGCCGGGCACGGUGGCUCAUGCCUGUAAUCCCAGCACUUUGGGAGGCUGAGGCGGGCAGAUCACGAGGUCAGGAGAUUGAGACCAUCCUGGCUAACAU
rnacentral:lncRNA from 1 species